GACUACCAUGACAUACAUGACUAAAUCAUUUAGCAAAGUAUUGCCUACCAAAGUUGGAGACAGCUGAUGGAAAGAGAGCACACAGGAAACAAAGUAAUGAAACAAUGAGGAAGAAUCAGUGGAUAAUUACUAAGUCAUUCUGUCAGACCUGUUAUAAUAUGAGGGGAAAACUUUUCUUGUAAGUACUGUAUGUACGGGAAUUGCUAAGUCAUGGCCUGAACCAAUGAUAGAGCACCUGUUGAAGGGACACAGCCAGCCCUGGGAGCACAGGUGGAAGCAAUUCAUCUGUGCCACUGGAAGGGAUGGAACCUGGUCCCACCUCUCUCUAAGCCUCAUUUAAGGGCUGGCUGCCACAAGGGAAGGUUCUCUGCCUUCCGAUCCUUCCUUCUGGAGUAUUUGAUGAGCCGUGAUCCUUGGAAUGGUUUCAGUUGUCUCUGUACAUAAAAUACGAGCCGUGGCUGCUGUUAGAACAAAUCAGUGGAAGCUCCCCAGAGCGGUGGACCCACUGUGUGUCUGACUGAAAUCAAAACAAAUCCAGAAGCUUUUUAUGAAAUAGAAGGAAAAUCUUCUGUAAUCAGAUGAUGAGCAACUUGUGAAAUCCAGGGCUGUAGAAGGAGGAAUAUAAAUCAUUUGCUAAAUGAUGGGACUUAGCAGAGAGCUUAUACCAGGGGGAGCAUUUUCCAGCAUUGAGAGCUGCUCAGUUGUUCGUCAUAUUUGUGGGAGACGACAUAUUGUUUUGGCGGAGAGAACAAAACCUGAAAAUGGCCUGAAAUUACCAAGUUGAGUGUAUUUAUCAGAAGAAGUCACUAUAACUGGUUGUACAGUAGUCACAAAAUGGCUUCAGAAGCUCCUCAGCUGCUGGCAUUCCUUGGGAUCACGAUCCAGUUGUGUAUUUGGGUACGUGUGGGCAAACGCAAAAGCAAAGAGGAGACACCAGUGUGUACCCCAGGAGAGCAGGCUUCCAGAACAGGCUCUGGGGUAGGGAUCCUAUGUGCUGAAAGCCUCUCUGAAGGACAUUUAAGAAAGAAGAUGGGGACAGCCACGUAUAUUAUCCCAUUUGGAUAUGCUUCUAGAGCAUUUUAAAUUAAGGUGAAUCUGAACAAAAACCUCAGAAUUGUACUCUGUCCUUUUCUACAUGAUUAGCUCUCUCACUGUGCCAGUAAAAGGUCAGUUGCCUUGUCUAACUUUUCAGUAUUGCUUUCUUCUUGUCAAGAACAAAGGUGUAUUAUCUUUAUUCCAAAAGUAAGACUUCCAGAUAUGAGUACAAUUGAGAAUACCAAUAUUUAUUGAUGAUUUCCUUUGUCCUUAGAGUAGCUGAAUUUUAUUUUUUUUUUACAUUUAAUUUUUUGGGGGAUGUUCUGGUUCAUUCUGCUAUGAAACAUUUUGAGGAAAAAUCAUACAAUAUAUAAGAAUUUAUCUAUUCCUGUUCUAUAUCAAAAUGAUUCAUUGAUGUAAUUGCUUAUUUUGAGCAGGAGCAAUAUGAUUUUUUUUUUUACUUUAAAUACUACCAAAUUUGCAAUAAAUAAUGAAGUUAUGCAGCCUUUUUCUAUUCAUAGGUAAUAUGAAGAUAAGGGAAAUACUACAGUUGUACCUCUCUCGUGUUUCUUUGGAGCUACUUCUGAGUUAUUUUCCUAGAUUUCCUUUACAGUUAAUUGAGAGAAAUUUGGGUUUCCAUGGCGUUAAUUAUCAUAUUUCUAAAGCAGACAACUAAUUCAAGCCAGGUUUAUCAUAUUCUAUUUUUAAAAUACAAUUAAAACAAUUCUUUCAGAUACCAUAGUCCUUAAAAGUUAUCUGAGGGCACAGCUAGCCCUUACAGCCGAAUUGCACACCCAGACUGUAAAUCUUCUCUCAAAGACAAAUGAGAGAAUGUUUCCUUCCUUUUCACAUGAAUUCUGACAUUAUAUGCAAAAAGCAAGAAACAGGUUUUCCAUUUAUUGAUGCUGAGAUGCAUAUUAUUUCUUGUUUCUGGGAGAAUUAAUACACUCCAGGAAAUAAUUGAAUUAAUUUUAUUCCUGGGAAGUGUUUGAAGAAAUAACAGAAAAGGUGUGAUAUAUUCAACAUUAGGAUAGGAAAUUAGUAAUGUUUUCUUUAAUAAAGGAAGCUAGUUCAUUUGUGUUACCUCAGGUGAAACAAACUGAUUGUAUUGAAAUAUAGAAGGCUUUUCUCUAGUAAUAGAUAUUUCUGGUUGAGAAAGAAAAUAUAAAGAUGGUCCAAGUGGCCAAGCCAUUCAACCACCACAUCUGGAUUUCAACUCAGUACCAGCUAAAGGCUAAUGCUUGGUAGGUGUUUAAUGACUAUACUGUUACCUUAAUCUUGCUUUUUCUGUUCUUAAAUGGUAGAAACUAAAAGUGGAAAAUCUGUCCCGUCAUUUAGUAAACUGAUUUUAAUCGGGAUUUUUUUAUUUAUUGUAAUUGGACUGGUAUUUAAAAUCUAGAUCAUAUAUCACUCAU